GCCCGGCUAGCUCAAUCGGUAGAGCGUGAGACUCUUACCAGAGUACACAUCUCAAGGUUGUGGGUUCGACCCCCACGUCGGGCU